CAGUGGGCAACUUAGGUUGUCGUAUAGCGGUGAUCCUAUGCUGCCUAGAAAAUCUUCGUGAGCGAGUUGUGCGCCGCCCGUACCCUAAACCGACUCAGGUGGAUAGGUAGAGAAUACCAAGGCGAUCGAGAGAAUCGUGGUGAAGGAACUCGGCAAAAUACCCCCGUAACUUCGGGAGAAGGGGGACCUAGAGUGUGAAAGGACUUGCUCCUGGAGCACAGAGGGUCGCAGAGACCAGGCCCAAGCGACUGUUUACUAAAAACACAGGUCCGUGCGAAGUUGCAAGACGAUGUAUACGGACUGACUCCUGCCCGGUGCUAGAAGGUUAAGGGGACGUGUUAGCGAAAGCGAAGCACCGAACUUAAGCCCCAGUAAACGGCGGUGGUAACUAUAACCAUCCUAAGGUAGCGAAAUUCCUUGUCGGGUAAGUUCCGACCUGCACGAAUGGAGUAACGAUUUGGGCGCUGUCUCCACCACGAACUCGGCGAAAUUGCACUACGAGUAAAGAUGCUCGUUACGCGCAGCAGGACGGAGAGACCCCGGGACCUUUACUAUAGUUUGGUAUUGGUGAUUGGUGCAGCUUGUGUAGGAUAGGUGGGAGACUUUGAAGCGUGGACGCCAGUUCAUGUGGAGUCAUCGUUGAAAUACCACUCUGGUUGUACUAGUUAUCUAACCUCGAUCCGUUAUCCGGAUCAGGGACAGUGCCUGAUGGGUAGUUUGACUGGGGCGGUCGCCUCCCAAAAGGUAACGGAGGCGCCCAAAGGUUCCCUCAGCCUGGUUGGCAAUCAGGUGUUGAGUGUAAAUGCACAAGGGAGCUUGACUGUGAGAGAGACAUCUCAAGCAGGGACGAAAGUCGGGAUUAGUGAUCUGACGGUGGCACGUGGAAGCGCCGUCACUCAACGGAUAAAAGGUACCCCGGGGAUAACAGGCUGAUCUUGCCCGAGCGUCCAUAGCGACGGCAUGGUUUGGCACCUCGAUGUCGGCUCGUCGCAUCCUGGGGCUGGAGUCGGUCCCAAGGGUUGGGCUGUUCGCCCAUUAAAGCGGCACGCGAGCUGGGUUUAGAACGUCGUGAGACAGUUCGGUCCCUAUCCGCUGCGCGCGUAGGAAUCUUGAGAAGGGCUGUCCUUAGUACGAGAGGACCGGGACGGACCAACCUCUGGUGUGCCAGUUGUUCUGCCAAGAGCACGGCUGGUUGGCUACGUUGGGGAGUGAUAACCGCUGAAAGCAUCUAAGCGGGAAGCAUGCUUCAAGAUGAGGAUUCCCACAGAGUUAGUCUGGUAAGGCCCCCGGUAGACCACCGGGUUGAUAGGUCGGAUGUGGAAGUGCAGCAAUGCAUGGAGCUGACCGAUACUAAUAGGCCGAGGGCUUGUUC
rnacentral:rRNA from 1 species